rnacentral:rRNA from 1 species
AUUGAACGCUGGCGGCAGGCCUAAUACAUGCAAGUCGAGCGAGCGGCGGACGGGUGCGUAAUGUAUGGGGACCGCCCGAUAGAGGGGGAUAACUACUGGAAACGGUGGCUAAUACCGCAUUCUGUCGGCUUCCACAUAUGGGAUUAGCUAGUAGGUAAGGUAAUGGCUUACCUGGGCGACGAUCCCUAGCUGGGCUGAGAGGCUGAUCAGCCACACGGGGACUGCGACACGGCCCAGACUCCUACGGAGGCAGCAGUGGGGAAUAUUGCACAAGGGGCGCAAGCCUGAUGCAGCCAUGCCGCGUGUAUGAGGAAGGCCCUAGGUUUGUAAAGUUCUUUCAGUCGGGAGGCGUUACCGACAGAAGAAGCACCGGCUAACUCCGUGCCAGCAGCCGAGGUAAUUC